rnacentral:rRNA from 1 species
UACGUAGGGUGCAAGCGUUGUCCGGAAUUAUUGGGCGUAAAGAGCUCGUAGGCGGUUUGUCGCGUCUGCUGUGAAAACUCGGGGCUUAACCCCGGGCCUGCAGUGGGUACGGGCAGACUAGAGUGCGGUAGGGGAGACUGGAAUUCCUGGUGUAGCGGUGAAAUGCGCAGAUAUCAGGAGGAACACCGGUGGCGAAGGCGGCUCACUGGACCGGUUCUGACGCUGAGGCGCGAAAGCGUGGGGAGCAAACGGG